rnacentral:rRNA from 1 species
GUCUACAGCCACAUCACCCUGAACACACCUGACCUUGUCCCAUCUCAGAAGCUAAGCAGGGUCAAGCCUGGUUAGUAUUUGGAUGGGAGACCACCUAAGACUACUGGAGGUCCUGUAGGCC